rnacentral:lncRNA from 1 species
AUGUAUGCUUUCAAACUGUUCACAGAUGCUAUAGAUUUUGGGAUGAGCCAACUCCGAUGGAUCUGGUGGUAGCUGAGCUGGUCAGCACACUGGCUCUCCCUUAUGAGGUCCAUCAGGACAAGCCCUCCAGCACUGCUCCAGCUAGACCAUCUAGUACCACCAUCCCCAGGAGGCAGGUAUGGAAAAGGAAGGAAGGAAGGAAGGACAGGGAGAGAUGGAGGAGAGAGAUCUUACACGCUUUCAAUUCUAAGAUCUCAUUUGCAGUCUGGUGACCCUGAAUCUAUACCACUGUGGUUAACAUGCUGUGAAGACAGCAAAUCUAUCUAUAUACCCUGCAUGCUCUCUGAACUCCAUAAUUGGAAAAAGAUUCAGAGAACAAUAUGAACAUUUACAAAGGAGAAAAUCUUCUCUCAUGAAUGUGUGGUGUGACUUCUCUUUAAAUUCGGCUGUCAUUCUUUUCUUCUAUAAAGAAAACUGUACCAUUAAUUCCAGCUGGUAGCCCCUCACAAAUAUAAAGACAAUUUUAAUUUGGAACAGGUCUGCAUUCUGAACAUGGGUUUGCUGGUGGAGAAGACUGCAUGGCACACAUAAAAGUGGACGUGGGAGAGGAACAAGAAGGAAAUGGAAGAGGCCUUCAGAUGAAGAUGUAGAACUUGCAGUUCUUCCUGCACCAUGCCUACCUGGACACUGCCAUGCUCCUGCCUUGAUGAAAAUGAACUGAACCUCUGAACCUCAUACUAUAGCAAGAAAAUGCAAGCCUUUGGACAGUAUCCCAUGGAGAGUCCUCCUACGUGUACCAAUGGACAUCACUUGGGCUAUGCAAAGCUACUAAUACCAAUUUCUAAGGUUAUUACAAAAGCAGCAAAGAGAAAUAUGGAAUCUCAAGCAACAUUCUCUGUGCAGGUGGAGUCAUGCCAUCUUAACAACGGAUAUAGUUUUGAAGAAUUAAACUAGAGCUAUAAAUGCUCCC